rnacentral:siRNA from 1 species
CGGUGCAGAUCUUGGUGGU